GACGAACGCUGGCGGCGUGCUUAACACAUGCAAGUCGAACGGAAAGGCCCUGCUUUUGUGGGGUGCUCGAGUGGCGAACGGGUGAGUAACACGUGAGUAACCUGCCCUUGACUUUGGGAUAACUUCAGGAAACUGGGGCUAAUACCGGAUAGGAGCUCCUGCUGCAUGGUGGGGGUUGGAAAGUUUCGGCGGUUGGGGAUGGACUCGCGGCUUAUCAGCUUGUUGGUGGGGUAGUGGCUUACCAAGGCUUUGACGGGUAGCCGGCCUGAGAGGGUGAACGGCCACAUUGGGACUGAGAGACGGCGCAGACUCCUACGGGAGGCAGCAGGGGGGAAUAUUGCACAAUGGGCGGAAGCCUGAUGCAGCAACGCCGCGUGCGGGAUGACGGCCUUCGGGUUGUAAACCGCUUUCGCCUGUGACGAAGCGUGAGUGACGGUAAUGGGUAAAGAAGCACCGGCUAACUACGUG
rnacentral:rRNA from 1 species